UGUUCAAGCCUUGGAUUAAGUCUGCUCUCUCUGUUGAAUGUUUUUGAACGUCUGUGGAUUACAAGCAAAAACACCAAAACCAACCUAGAAGUUUCAUAUAGGUUCAGGAGUAAAAAGUAGCAUUUAUAAAAUAUAUCAGCAACACCCAAGUGUCCCUAAAGCGUUUUGUGUUUGCUGAUGUACGACAUGUUAGUUUGUUAGCUUGCUGUGAGGAUGGACCUGCAAGCUGUGACACAAGAUUUGGGAGGUGAUUGCUCAUGUUGUAAAUAUUGAUUGAACUGUAGUGGACCGCAGGGAAAACAUUCAAAUGGUCCGAGUGAGUUGUAAAGUGCUGUUUGCUCCGGCGUCAACCUGCUGAAUGUGUCGACUUUCGGUGCUUCCAGCAAUGGAAGACAUUUUUUGAGUACAAAGCAUUAAUUAUCUGCCGUGUCGACAUGUAAAGGAAGCGAUGUGCUAUGUUUUAUCCUCUCUCUGCUCAAUGCCCCCUGAAUGACCCCGGACAAUUCAGCUAAAUGGCGCUAUUGUUGCUUUCAUGUUGAUCCUAACCUUUCAAUCAUCUUUAGACCUCCAAUGAACGACCACUUAUUCUGUCAGGAGAACCAGGGUGGACACUGGCUCCCGUCACCAGCUACUUCACGAGGCCAGUAUGAAUGGAGAACAUUUUGGAUGUAAACCAUUUUCUCUGUUGUUGCUUUCUCUUUGCUUCAGCACCAGGGGGAGGCAAUGAAGAGACACUGAGGGACCUUCACUCUUUGAGGGGAUGGGUUUGGGUCAGUUACUAUCAAGAGCCCCUGCGGAGCUCUGAAGAGCCUGGAAAGAAGGAAACCCAGCCCCUAAAAAAGCAGUUGCAAACAGCUGUCAAAAGCGAAGCCUUUUCUGCUUGUCCUUCCCAUGAUUCCCAUCAUUAUUUGGAAAAUUGAUAUUCUAUACUCGGGGUGCCCAUUGAGCGGCAGAUUUUAUUUCACUGUGGAGUUUGGCAUCAUAUACAAUGUCCGUGCCAUUCAAGACAUUGUGUUUGGACGAGAAAUUAGACUCUUAAAAGCACGUCAGAUAGUAAGAGACAGCAUUCAGUACUUUCUGAAUGCAACCAACUUGAGUGGUGGCAGUCCAUCUUUUUUUAUUUUUUUAUUAAAAACAUCUCUGUCCGUAACUACAAUUGCAUUUUGUCCUUGCACAAACUAAACGAUUGGACAACUAAUUGGGCAAAGAAAGUAAAGUGUGAAAUCUUUGCAUGGCUGAGAGCUUUGAAAGGAACCAAACAAGAGACUCUUUGGCGGAUGUUAUUGAUUGGAAGGCAGAGGCAAGAUCAAUGAAAAGAAACAGCCUGAGACAAAGAGUGGCAUUUAAGCGUGGAAAAAGCUGACAUUUUUUCCAUCACUGUCAGAGGCAUGGCCAUAAAGCAGUGGCAAAUAUUAAAACAUUUCUCAUCUGCGUGGGAGUAUUGGCAGCAGAAAUUGUUUUCUCUGCGGUGUGAUACUCGGGUUGAACUCCCGGUAGAAUCCCUCGGGGGUGCAGAUUGGUGCCGGUGACAUAUUGGCACCGGCGUUUACACACAGCUGCCACUCACUCUCCCACAGCCUAGGAGCAGGGCUGGAGAGGGCAGAUAGCAGGCGAGGAGGAUGGCGCUUGGACUGUCGUCAAGGUGGGUCGCCCUGCUGGAAUUCAUCACUGAUAACACGUUUUAUACUUUCAUGGGGCCUCAUCGAGCGCUUCUAUUAGGAAGCACUGUCCUCCGCACGGCAUGCUCAUGCAUAUGUAAUCCAUACGUGUGAAUGGCAUUGCUUAUCUGCGUCUCAGUGAGCUCCAGCGCUGGAACACUGUGUGUUUAUGUAGUAUGUGCACUAACCGCUUUCAAUGAAAUUAAUUGUUCGCCGUGUCCUUUGAAUGCACUCACAGCGCAGUCUUGAACUUGGAGUGACACGGUUAUUGCAGGGUCAUAUGUCUAUUUGUAGAAUAAAUGAUAUUUGGCUACACUAAGAGAAUUACGCAGAGGAUGUCCCUUGGAGACACCAGGCGAAGUGAUCACUCAUCGUUACUUUGUGUGCCUCCUCCGACUGUACUUAUCCGCUGGUCUGGAACGGGUGUUAAAUGGCUGCGAGAGCACAUCCCAUCAUUCCGAGAUUAUUAUUUGAGACCGGCCGAAAGAGAAUAAGAACAGAAAUUGUUAAUGUUGUGAAUUUCAUUUUUCAGAGUUCCAUCCUCAACUUCAUCGUUCCAUCGACAAUAGUGUCUUUGUGGAUCGCCCACUUUGCUUGUUUAUAACUUUUACUGCCUGCUUUUUCCUUCCCUCCCACUCUUCUUCGACAGCACUUGAUCGCACUAAGCAGGAGCGCAAACAGCAGGUGAACCCGUUCCGAUACUCUCUUGUGCCAUCUGUUGUAGUCACAUGACGCCAUGAUUGCCCAUCAUACCUGAAAUAUCCAUCAAUCACCAGCAAAGAGGAUACAAGAAAGAAAGAGAGAGUGAGCGGUUGAGUCAUAGGAGGGCAAACAUGAACGCCCCACAAUAAUGUGCAAAUGCACGCUCACUGAACCAAAUGAUGGGUUGACUUGGCUCAUUGCAAUAACUUUAUCUCUAUACUAUAAACACAAGUAUUCAAUUUUGACUUUAUUUAACUGUAUGUUUAUUAUUGUAGUUUUAGGCCCAUCAGUGAUGUGGAUAGUCACACAAGAUCUGAGGACAUCAGUCACCAGGGAGGUGAUCAACCUGCUCAUUCUCCAUUUAAUGAGGGUAGCCAUUCACGUUGCCUGUUGCCACACUUGCCCAAGGUGAGUGUCCCACAUUUAAAGGGACUGUGAAGAGCCACUUGGAUUGGUGGUGUCACGUGCCGUGCCAACUUCCCUCAGCCACACCCCUUCAUCACCGUAAUGUCUGUCACCUGCUUCCUCUUGUUACCGUAUGUAUUUAAGCCCUUCCCGUGUGUUUCUCCCUGUGGGUGCUGUUGCGUGUUGUGAGCGAUGUCCGAUGUCGAGCCAGGAAAAACAAAGAUGUGGAGUAUAGAGUUGGUUCUUUAUUGGCAAGAACUUGGGUUGUUUAAUGGCGGCCGGAACACAUGGCACGGCGGCACAUGAAACAACUCCAGGUCAGCUUGUUUUAUACUGUCCGGAAAAGGUGGGAAAAUGUCACAUGAACAUUUGGUAUCUGUGAGUGUGUGUGUGUAUGUGUCUAUGGGUGUGUGUUUAUACAGUUCUGUGUGUUGUAUUCGUGUUCUGAUUGAGCAGUUAUGUUUAUACAAACUAAUGAAAAGAAUUACUCACAUAUAAACAUUAAAAUGUACAUGAGAUUUUCUAUCCUAACAGAAUAUGUAUACCUUGCUGUUGCUCUCUCUUCAGUGUCUACUGUUGUCUCCCGUCUGUGCCUUGUGUUCCUGUCCUGCUCGUCCAGUUUCCCCCCCGGUCUAGUCUGGAGGCUCACGGUCAGAGUUUUAUCCGUGUCCGAGUGGACUUCUGUUUGCUAGCCGUGAGUCUCUAGCCCGUCUGUGUCUUCGUUGACCCCACCUACCUCCCUUCCAACUCUCUUUCCCUUCAAUAAACCCUGGUUCAAGCUGCAUUUGGUCGCCCUGCUCCAAUUAUUCCUGACAGGUGGCAAAUGGAAUUUGGGUUUGGGUUUGCUUUGUUCAUGCCCACAACAGCGCAAACUGCCCUUUUAUGAAUGCGGCAACUAGCACCUAUGCAAAAUUACCAACAUUUGGUCUCGCCACCGAUUUUGCUGCAUUGGGCUCGCGCCAGUCAUUAAAGUAGAGCCGUAUGUGUCUAACUAAAAACAAAAAAGUAAAAACAUCUCUCAAUGUCAUGUCACACCACUUUCACAGCAGCGCAAAUAAUAACCCAUAUUCACAGGAUAAUAUCUCUCUUUCUCACAUUAACAAUCUCUGUUUUGGAUACAGCCCUUGCAUUGAUCUAAUUGCUGCAGCAGCCCAAUAUCAAUGUUUUUGUGACAACAUUGAUUAAGCACAUAUUCGGUCAAAACUGUGGCGGUAAAAAAGAAACCAAGCACAGGAAACAUUAUUUAAUCGUGAGAUACAUUUGUUUAAUGUAUGUAAUUGCAUGACAUAUUGGCCAAUUAUCCAUUUGAAUCAAAUUAUGGAAGACAUUUGGAUAAAUCAAAUUUCUAAUGAUACAAAUACAAAGCGAAUGCAAAGGUUAUAAAUUGGAUGAAGGACACAUUCAAAUGCGAGAAGAGGAAGUCAUUCCAGUCAGAUGUGUCUGUGCCACAAUUAAGCAGCGUUCAUUAUCUUUUUGAUGAAGUAAGUGGAUGAUGAAAUCAAAGCGGGUUUGCCAGAGGCCAGGCUGCAGAGAACAGACGGGAAAUAACCCAUAUCUCUCGCUUUUCCUUACACUUACAUUCUCAUCUCAACUAAAAUAAUCCUUGAACGAUUUUUGCAGCGCUACGGGCACGCCUAUCUGGCAUGUCGAUGGUCCCGUGAAAGCACCUUUUUGCGUAUCUACACAGUUUUUUUUUGUGUCUGAUCAUGUCGCGUAAUUGCAUCAUAGGUACCGUUGACGUCUACAUGCUGCUUUGGAAACAAACUAUGCGUUUCAUUACAGUUCAGGUGCAAAAGGAAGAUAAAGCAAAAUGCAGAACGCUCUUGUGUCUCUCCCCUCUUUCAAAGGCUCGCUUACUCGUGUAUUCUUUCGUUCCAUCUCUUGCUCUCGUUCCCGUGUUCUCUGAUGUUUUAUUUGAUAUCCCACAAUAAAGCCCCUCUUUGAACUGCCA